rnacentral:lncRNA from 1 species
GUGUAGACAUCAUUAUUAUUCCUACUUCACAGAUGAGCUAAUUGAAGCUAAGAGAGUGAAUGGUAUACACCCUUGGAAAGGGGGAAGCUCAGAUCCAGUCAAUGCAUGUCUUCACCUAAAAGCAGUUCUAACAUAAUUAGUCUAUAACUGAUCCUUGUCUUAACAAAGAAAUGUCUGAAAGGCAAAAGAAUAAAAUGUUUGGCUUCCCCUUAGUUCUGUGAACACUGGUGGGUUUUGUUUUGUUUUUGGCUUUUCUUUAAAAAAAAAAGACUACUUUUUUAGAGCGGUUUUAGGUUCAUGGCGAAAUUAAGAGGAAGGCACAGAUCUCCCAUAUACACUGGUAGGUUCUUCUUGUCAAGGAUUUGGCUCCAAGGUUCAUUAUAGGGAAGAGGAUAUUCCUAUUGCACUUGGACUUUUUAAAAUUGAAGUAUAGUUCUUAGUAAUUUAAGGGCUUCCAGCGUGGCUCAUUGGUAGAGAAUCCACCUGGCAAGUGAAAGACUUGGGCUCGAUCCCUGGAUCGAGAAGAUCUCUUGGAGAUGGAAAUGGCAACCUACUCCAGUAUUCUUACCUGCUCCAGUAUUCCUCCCGUGGACAGAGGAGCCUGGAGGGCUAUAAUCCAUGGGGUCACAAAGAGCUGGACAUGACUUAGCAACUAAGAAACAGUAAUAGUUAAUUUAUAAUAUUAUGUUAGUUUCAAAUGAACAGCAUAGUGAUUCAGUGUUUAUAUAUAUUGUACUACAUUAGAAGUUAUUACAAGAUAAUGGCUAUAAUUCCCUGUGCUGUGCAGCAUAUCCUUGUUGCUUGUUUAUUUUAUGCAUAGUAGUUUGUGUCUCUUAAUCCUAUACCCCUAAUUGGCCCUGCGUCUUCCCUCUACCCUUUGGUAACCGCUAGUUUGCUUUCUCUGUCUUGAACUUGGACUUCAGCUCAAAGACUUCAUUGCUUUUUCACCCCUAGUAUAUGGAAAGAUUUACCUGUCCCAUUCCUGGGUCCUGCACACCUGGCCUUGAACAGAGAAGCCUGGUAGGCUACAGUCUGUGGGGUCGCAAAGAGUCAGACACAACUGAGCAACUUCAGCUGGUGAGGGGACAUUUCAGAGUCCUCUCUGGGCUGCUUGCCUGCCUUCCCCAUCUGUCCCUCUCUUGGGGUGACUUUCUCUACCUCUGUUGGCUUCCAGCUUCUCUACAUUCAGACUCUGGGCCAUAUUCUCUAUUCAGAUUUCUUAGCGUCUUUAUCUGUAAGGUUUUUCCUCAGUCGUUAUCCUGGAUAGAAGUCAUUUUUCUUAGAUCUUCAAAAGGAUAA